CCAACUUGAUCUUCUCUUAAAGUGGGAGGGACUUUGCUCCCCAAGUCCCCAUUUUCCAGUCUAGUCACUCGAGAGGUGUGGGAGGAGAGGUUGCCACUGAAGAUUAAGGGCCCCUGAGCAUGUUUCACUAAGAGAAGUAUAAACUGGGAGAGGCAGAGAGAGAGGAAGGAUUAUCAAGGACAGUGAGGCAGAAAGGAUGGAGCCCAGGAGGUUUCUGGGAAAAGGAGCAGACAGGAGUGAACCUCAGAGGAGACGACAAGAUGACAACUUGGGGGGCCCAGAGAGAAUCAUGCUAACUAAGAAGCCACUGAAAGUUGCAAGAAUGUACAAAAGAAAUGCAGGAAAAGAUGAGGUUCAGCUAUGACAGCUAUCCUGCAAGGUAUCUGUCUACCCUGUUGUGCCAGAAUUUGAAUAAGAGCAAUUCCACAAUUCUUCCAUCAACUGGUCUCAGUGUUCUUCAUCUCGGGAGUUUCAUCUAAUAACUGCCCUGAAUCCUUCAUUAUGCAAUCUAAGUCAAUUUUCCCUCAUCCUAGCUAUUAAUCCAUCCCAGAUACUGAGAAUAAAUUACUGUUUUCUCUUUGCAUUGUUUAUUGCAUGUUUGAAAAGCAUUAUUUACCAGAUUCACAGACUUCAAGCUCCUAAAAGUCUAAAUUAAGGAUAAUGAUGUAUUGCUCCAUUGUUUUUGUUACAGAAAUGCAAAAUAUUCCUCUAACCUUCCCAAAUCAGCUAGCAGAUUUAUUGCUAAACAGUCCAUAACUUAAUUUACUUCUUUAUAUACUUUGGCCAUAUCAUAUUUUGUCACAUGUUCAUCACACAGAAGCCAAAAUAAAUGUUUUUGUCAACCUUUGUAGUCUUUACAUUGGAGAUGGAGAUCGCAUACUUUUCUGACAGCAUCUGCUAUUUUUCAUUCACUUCAGAGCAGAGUGUAAUUUGUCAUACAACACAGCUUUUUACAAAUCACCAGUUUCAUACUUCAGAAGUGUCA